GUGCACCAGUCGCGAAAACUCUGCAAUACGCGAAAGCGUGACAGGGCUACCCCGAGUGUCGUCCGCUGAGGACGACUUUUCCACGCUGUAAGGAGGCGUGGGAAUAAGGAGAGGGCAAGUCUGGUGUCAGCCGCCGCGGUAAUACCAGCUCUCCGAGUGGUAGGGAUGAUUAUUGGGCUUAAAGCGUCCGUAGCUGGCCUUUCAAGUCUCUUGUUAAAUCCAGCGAUUCAAUCGUUGGACUGCGGGAGAUACUGUUAGGCUAGGUGGCGGGAGAAGCCGACGGUAUUUCCGGGGUAGGGGUAAAAUCCCAUAAUCCCGGGAGGACCACCAGUGGCGAAGGCUGUUGGCUAGAACGCGCUCGACGGUGAGGGACGAAAGCUGGGGGAGCGAACCGGAUUAGAUACCCGCGGAGUCC
rnacentral:rRNA from 1 species